UACGGAGGGUGCAAGCGUUAUCCGGAUUCACUGGGUUUAAAGGGUGCGUAGGCGGCUUUAUAAGUCAUUGGUGAAAGCUCGCAGCUUAACUGUGAAACUGCCAUUGAAACUGUUUAGCUUGAAUGUGGUUGAAGUGGGCGGAAUACAACAUGUAGCGGUGAAAUGCUUAGAUAUGUUGUAGAACACCGAUUGCGAAGGCAGCUCACUAAGCCAAUAUUGACGCUGAGGCACGAAAGCGUGGGUAGCAAACAGG
rnacentral:rRNA from 1 species